GCAAUAGGGGCCACUCAGGCUAGCCAAGGAGACUGCCUAUGAACCAACUCAAAGGUUCACAUUCUGAUCCUUUGGGACAAAGGACAUAGGCAAGUCAUCCUUGGCUAUCAGAGGCAGACCCUUAUUG
rfam:Sorghum bicolor cultivar BTx623 chromosome 7, whole genome shotgun sequence.